UUAGGAAGGAUGGUAUAUAAAUUGAAUGAAUGAAUGAAUAAAUAAAUAAAUAAAAUUCUGAGUCUGCCCAGUUCUGAGUCUGCCCUAGCCUGGGUUAGGCUGCGCAUGUGAUACCCAUAGUGAGUUUCAAAGGUUCAAAUCCCCAAUCAGCCAGAAGCUCACUAAGUCUCACUCUCUCUAAGUCUCUCUCUCUUCAUAAAGUUAUUGUGAGGAUGAAAUAAUGACCCAGGGAUGGCUGAGGGCAGGGACAGCCCUAGGACAGAUGGCACCAUGGGCCCAGCACCCCCCCCCCCCAUUUUUAGUUUAUCACUGUUACCAUGACUAAUGAAUCAGCUUGAUUAAUUAACCAUGGCAACUGCCUGGCCCUACAGGGGGUAAACCAUGUAUUGGUUCACCUUGUAAGCAGGGGAUACAAAUGUAUGUGGUAAUUUCUCCUGAGGCAGCUGCAUUUCCCCCCUCCAACUUAAGGAGAGUUCAAAGUCCAUAACUGCUCUUUCCCCCUUAUUUCAGGCACAAACCACUGUUUCACUGGGUCUUGUUUAUUUUUGACCUCUUUUAAUGGCUUACAUAUUUAACAAGGCAUGCACAGUAGCCCACAAAAUGCUGGCAGAUGACUCACGUAACAUUCUUACAUAAGCAUUAUUCUUCUAUAAGAAUAACAACCAGCAUCUAUGGAAUGGAGUCAGCUGACUUUCUGUGCGAGUGCUAGGGUUCUGAAGACCAUUGUGGCUCAUUAGAAGAUCUAGUCUUCUCAAUGCCUCAUUCUGAGCAGCAGAUGAAUCUUGCAAAAGAGAAUUUUCUCUGCUCUUUUUGGAGUUCUACCAUACUCAUGAUGAAACCAGCUCCCCCUUUUCUUUCCAGCUUAGCUUCUUCCAUGUGAAGUCAGCCAGCUCAGAAACACAUUAAAUACAAACACCCUUGAACCCUAAUUAGCUAGUUGUUCACAACUACUUGGUGAGACAAGGUAAAUGCUAAAAGCCUUAUCCUGAGGAGUUUGCUGCAGAGAGAUGAAGUGACUCACAAUGAGUCAGAGGCAAAACUCGAUUUAUACCUUAGGUGGUCCUGGUUUCUGCGUCUGUACUCAGAUUACACCAUCCAAUGAUACAAUGACUCAGAUUCAUCUAAGUCAGUUAAACUAGAGGGGGAUAGAGGCAAUGUGUCAUAGGUAGUAAACAGGAUCACAUCAGGGUGUCAGAAUAAACCAGCAAGUGUCAGAUACAUUGAAAAAGGGAAAUUGAAUUCAAUAAUUGGAUUAGCAUCUGGACCACAGUAUGGCCUGAAAUAUGAAAGGGAUAGUUGCACUACUUUCAUCCGAGCAGGAACACGAGCAAGAGAAAAUCAGCCUGGCCCCAACUGGAUGUCGGCUCCUGUUGUUGUCAGCUCUGCUCUUUGUUCUUACACCACCAAAUUGAUCUCCUUUCACUCCCCUUCCUUUGUGUUUCUUGUCUUAUAGAUUAGAAACCCAAGGAUAGGGCCAGUAUCUUGUUUUAAUAUAUGUACAGCACUUGCCAGCAGCACCAUGUAUUUAUUUAUUUUUUAUUUAUUUAUUUAACACAUUUCUAUAUUGAAUUUCAUUCAUUCAUUCAUUCAUUCGAUUUAUAUACCGCCCUUCCAAAUGUGACUCAGGACUGUUUACGUUAAAAUCAAAAACACAUAAUAAAACAAUUUAAAAAAUUUAAACAACAUUUAAGCCAGAUUAAAAUUUAAAACUAGAUACCAUUAAAAGCCAGGCUAAAAACUUGGGUUUUUAAGGCUCUCCUAAAGGCCUCCAUGGAAGAUAAUUCUCUUCCACAAAUAAUCCAUGGGAAAUGCAUUCCACAACCUAGGGGCAACAGCUGUGAAGACCCCAUCCCAGGUCGCCACCAGAUGAACCGGUGGCACCCGAAGCUGGACUCCUUCUGGUGGGGAUCUUGUAGAGAAAGGCACUCUCUCAGGUAACCCGGACUGAAGCCAUUCAGCGCUUUCAAGGUAAUAAGCAGCAUUUUGUACUUUCCCCAGAAAUAUAUCAGCAACCAGUGCAACUGUUUAAAAGCAGACAUAAUGUGUUCUCUCUGGGAUACCCUGAGGCCAGUCUGGCUGCUGCAUUUUGGACUAACUGAAGUUUCUGAACUACAUACAGAGGCAGCCCUACAUAGAGUGCAUUGCAGUAGUCCAACCUGGAAGUUAACAGCUGGUAUACCACUGUUUUCAGGUCAAACUCCUCAAGGAACGGGCAGAGUUGUUGAAUCAAUCACAACUGGUAAAUUGCUGUGGGCUGCUUGGGGAAGUAUUUUCUGCCCAAACAGGAUACAAAGAUAUAUUACAGAUCUAGACCUUUUCGUUUACAAUAAUUUUUUGCUAUGGAGAUGUUAUUUUCUCUAGUUUUCUCUAUAUUUAAUUGUUUCUUUCCUAGUUGUUAAUGGAUACAAGAUGCUUGCUCAGUGGCUUUUGAUAGCUGCUGUCUACUAACUACAUACAGGGCUGCUCAACUUCGGCCCUCCUGCAGAUGUUGGCCUACAACUCCCAUAAUUCCUGUCUGUUGGCCACUGUGGCUGGAAAUUAUGGGAGUUGUAGUCCAAAAACAGCUGGGGGGCCUAAGUUGAGCAGGUCUGAACUACAACAUACUCCCCUGUUGGGAAUAUGGAGGAAAAUAACUGGAGAAUUGGAACAUAGCUCCAAAAUAAUACUAAAGUCUUCAUUUUUGCAGCUGACUGGCAUAGGUAGAGUCCAACCACAUUGUUUGAUUUGUGGGGAACUGAUGCUGGUUGAAAAGACUAGCACUCUCUGUCCAGGUGCUUGACUGCUCUCCUAUGCCCAACUUGCCUAUUUUUAAAUAAGCAAGUACAACAAAGUAAGCACUACUCCCUUACAGUGUUCCCUUUAACAGGGAUUCCCAGGUGUGUGUGUGUGUGUGUGUGUGUGUGUGUGUGUGUGUGUGUUUAACAUUUUGUACCACCCCAAACUUACAUCUCUGGCCGGUUUACAACUACAAUUCCCAGCAUCCCCAGCUGCAAUAGCCUUUGCUUGGGGAUUGUUGUAGUCAACAACAUCUGGGAUUCCCUGUUAGAGGGAACGCUGCUCCCUUACUGUAAGCAGUUUUCACAAGAAAACCGAUCUUCCUGCAAGCUACCUUUGGCACUUCCUCUUGCUAUAGAUGUGUUAGUAUGACAUGAGAUCAAUUGACAUGGGUGAACAGUGGAAUCCGUAAUAAUUGUAGUCAUUUGAGGAACCUUCAGUUCCAAACUCCUGCCAUAAAACAAGCUCCUCCCCAGUCAGCACCCCAAACAAAAUAGGUCAUGGCUGCAAUCCAGCUGCAAUUGACCAUGUAAUGAAAUCAAUCAGAAUUAAUGAGCCUGGCUAUGUGCAAUCAAAACUGUAAUGUGUCACAACUCCAGUGACAGUUUAUUCCAACAGUGGAGCCUUUAAUAAGUCACAGGCCAGACCUAUUUGGUAAGUAUGUAUUAGUUGCCAUUAAAUUAUGUCGGUGUCUAAGACUCCAGUCCUGUGCAUACUUGAGAGUAAGUUCCAUUGUACGUAGUGGAACAAAGUUCUGGAUAAGCUUGCACAGAGUUGUGUUGCAAGUACCUAAUUUCUCAAAUCACACUCAAAACAUGUUCUUUUAUGAGCUAGAUUUUUCAAAACAAAACAAAACACAUGACUGCUUUAUGAAAACAAAAACAGUGAGCACACACUCAGUAAACAGAGAGAGAGAGAGAGAGAAGAUACCAGCAAUCGCCACUGGAGAGAUGCUAUGGUGGAUUAAAUAGAGACACCUGCAAUAUUUUGGCAUGGAGUCCUGUUAAUCAAAGUGUUGUUUAAGCAUUGGCCUGGCCACUAACAAAGUGUGCCUAUUAAUGGGUCAUCAAGGCGAUGGUGAUGAAGAAAUAAUAAUAUAAAUGUGUACAUACCUCUUUUUUUUUUUUUUUAAUGUGGCUUACAUAGCAAAAGAAAUGAAAAUAUAAUUCCCUGUCCCGAAGGAGCUUUCUGUCUAAAAAGAAACACAAGGGAGACAUCCUCAAAGCCAUUUAGAGGGACAUUGUGCUGAACUGAAUAGGGACAGUUGCUCUCUUCUUCCUGCUACAGAUGAAAUCUGCCUCUUUCAAAGGCGCUUCUUUGCCCAGUUAGCCGCAGAGAUGUUACACCAGCCUGCCAAGUUGGGAGCUGAAAACAGGUUUGGCCUUUGAACCAAGGAGAGGUGGGGGAGCAGUUACAUUUCUCUAGGUUAGAGAAAGUUCUCAGGUUUUGGGAAGAAGCUGUUUUAGCGACUACAAGUGUGCUGCUGUUAUCUUGAGAGAAACUACUUUAGACUAGUGUUGUCUGUAAGUAUAUAGGUUUACUUUCUCCCCUUUGCUUGACUUGCAUAUAUGUAAAACUAACAGGCAUUGCAGAAAACACCACGUCUGCACUAUUGUGUACUUUCAAGGAACACAACGUUGUUAAUCAACCUGAAACAGACAAACACCUAAGGAAAUCAGGAUGCCCAAAUAGUAGUAACAUGAGGUUUUACAAUAGACUCCUAGUUUUCUUUGUAUCGUAUUUUUAUGUUCUUAUAUUUAUUUGUUGUUGCUUUUGUGACAUUUAUUGCAAGUCUAAAAUCUUCCAUUAUCUGUUGGUCACUCUGUUGUUCUGUCUUCUUUAAUGUCUAUUUAAUAUAAUAUUUAAUAAUAUCUGGAUUUUGAGUAAAAAUCUACUCUUUCUGUUGGGAAUCUGAUGCAGACUGAUAUUCUGGAAGAGGGAAUUCACAAAACGAUUGUAUGACCAUUUUUCCUGGAUCAUGAACUGGCACUUUUACACAGCUGUCUGGAUUUUUUCAAAGGAGGACAUCAGUGAAUUCAACCAGUGCUCUCAGGUCAACUAAAGCCACAAAAGUAUAUUUUUAAUGAGAGUUUGUAAAGCAUAUAAAAAGGGUAAAGUAAUUAUCUGAUGUAAUCCUUUUCAAAAUCUGCCUGAUCUUCCAAAAAUAGAUUUACAGAUUCCCUGUAGUACAGUAAUUUUCUUAGCAGAAGUCUGGCAACUGCCUCCCCCUCCCCCGACCAGAAACUGUAUAUAUGCAAACUUGCAAUUCCCUGAUGUCUUCAACAAGCAGAUGAUUAUAUUUCCUUUUCAGUUUAGCGGAAGUGUCUCAGGUUUGAUAAUAUAAUUACAAGGGUUUAGCAGCCAUCAAGUAGUCCACCAGACUUGGCAAGAAUUAUAAACUUCUGAAAGAACCAAGUGCGUGCCAGGAGCACUGCUGUCCCUUCAUGCAGAAACCACUUUGGUGACCUCUUCCUCUGUUAACAGGACCAAACUGUGUACUAGAAACACAAAUAUGGCUUCAUAAUGAGAGAGCCAAUAGCAGGAAUUAGAGCAACGGCAUUGAAUGUAUUUUGUUUACGCUGGAGGCCAGAAGUCUUUGGCUUUUUGUGAUCUAAUAUGCCACUAGCAGGUAUUAUGAUAUCACAGAUCAGACAAUACAUUUCUAUUCUCUCUUUCAGGCACACUUGUUUUACGAUUUAGUGCUUCCUUUCAAGGCUGGAAUGCCUUGAGGGUUAAAACUGCAGGGACAACAAGAGUGCAAAGAUGAAAGUUGAGUCCAGGAGAAAGCAUGUUUGGAGAGGAGUGUUCCCUAGCACAAAAUGUAACAGAUAAGCUACUGCUCACAAGUAGUUCUGUAGGUGCAUCAGAGCCCCAGAAUUUUGCACUCUUGACUUAUGACGUUGGUUUCUUCACAGAAAGAAGCCCCAACACUAGAGUCAGAUGCAGAGGACCUUGGACCAGCUUUGCAUGAUGCUUCCAGAAAUUCCACAGGGAUUCCUCAAGGCCUCCAUUUUGGCUCAAUGUAUCCCUUCCAAAUUUGGAGUGAGAGAAAAUAGCCAAUAUGCCACACGCAACCAGAAGGAAAAGAAAAGAGCCAAUUUAAGUAUGAGAGGUCGGAAAUCUGUUUCCUCACUUCAGUAAGAAAUUUGCCAUCAAGUUGAGUGAAAGCAGAUUUUGAAAGUCCGAGUGCUUCUGGAAAAGCCACCCAAGGGACAGGAUACUCUGAAAAUAAUUAAAUGUCAUGGCUGAGACUUCGGAAUCAGAAGACUCAGAGCAGGAAGACUCUCCUGCUAGUGAGCCACAGCAGCAAGAUUUGGCAGAGAAACCAGAUUCAGGACCUGAGGAUUCUCAACAGCUGCCAGACUUGAAUUCUGAUGUGGAAGAGCCUGGGAUUCCACCUAUAGUGAGACGAAAUAUCAAGUGGCAGGCUCAGAGGGACUCACGCAGGUGCAGGAGAUAACAGGGAAGAAAGCCAAACUGCUGACUCAGGGAAGCCUGAUUGGUUCCUGGUUCUGUUGAGCCAUAUAUAUUCAACAGUCUCAUGGCUGAGUUGCUGUUUGCUUCGCUGGCAGCAGAUACUGUGCUCUUGGAAUUAUAUCUUUUCCGUGUUCCAGUUCGUCUUGUCUAUACUUCCCUGUAUUGUUCCCUUAAUUCCUUGUUCUGUGUCCUUCGCUUGUUUCAUUCCUUGUUUUGUCUUUUCUUCCACUUAUUACUCAGUUAUUGUUAGAGCGGGGUACCUAGUUUCAGUUCAGGGGACUUAAUGCAUUUACUGUUUUCUUUGCAAGCCUUUUAUUUUCCUUCAUCUAGUUUCAUUGCUGCUUUCUGUUUACUCUCUCUCUGGGGGGUUGUAAAUCCUGUAGGGAUAGCCGAGCUAUCAGUUCACGACAUAAAGGAUAUGCAGAGUAAACUGUGUCACUGCUGGAAUAUAUUCUAGUAUUUCAGAAAGACAGUUAAAAUGAGAGAAAGAGAGCAAGAAACUCCCAGUGGGCCUUCAUACUCAGGAUUUCACACGGAUUCAAAGACAAACUCACCAUUAAUAGCCAUAUUAUUAAGACAUCACAUUUAACUCACUUAUCACAAGAAGCAAAGUAAGAGCAAAUGAAUACAAUCCUAGCUCAUAAGCUUCAGCUCAGUAUUCACAAGCCCUGAUUCUCUGCACAUAGUGCCAAACUGAAUAUGUGUACAGUGACUUAUAUUAUAUUAAUUUUUUUAAAAAAAAUACCUGUAGCCCCUUUGGGGGGGCUUCCUAAAGGCCAUGGGGGGUCUGCAAAGGCUCCCCCUCUCCCCACUGGCCUCUAGGGCCUUGCAGGGACCAUUUGAACAUGGCGCCUGGGGCAUGUGCCCUGCCUGCCCAACCCUAGAUACACCCCUGCCCCCAAUCCUCUUUAGACUGGCCUGGGUGGUAUGGUCGCCAUGCUGUCAUGCUGUGCUGGACAGCCAAGUAUGAUUGUGACCUGUGCCAGGUACUUUAGAGGCAGAGGGGGGAGUGGGGAAAGAAAUAUGUGAAAUGAGAAUAUGUUAAGUUGUGUGUUGAAAUGUUUCUGCUACUGCAUAUUUACAUAAAUAUACCCCACAUGUUAAAUACUGUGUUUGUCUCUCUCUCUCUCUCUCUCUGUGUGUGUGUGUGUGUGUGUGUAGGGGGGUGAUGCUUGACUUGCAGUGAGAGGGGGACCUCCAGCGGCAGCAGGGUGGGGUGGGACCUCCAAAGACCUUUUGGUCCAGGCUCAAAAAUCACUUAAGUGCACCUCUGAGAGAGUGUGGGAGGUGGAGUCAGAAAAGAAAGGGAGGAAAAUGAGAAAGUGUAGUUGUUUCUGAAUAAAGCUCAGUUAAACAUAAGAUUGCAUUGUUUUUAUGAAGGAAGCCAUAAACACUAAGUCAUGCUAAUGAUCAAAA